GGUCGAGUGGUGGAGCGGCGAGUGCGAUUGUUUCGGGGAUGGUGCCACUGGCAGGCGCGAGUGACGGGGGUGGUUCGAUUCGAAUCCCGGCUG
rnacentral:tRNA from 1 species